CCCUUAGAUGUCCUGGGCCGCACGCGCGUUACACUGAUGCAUUCAACGAGCUUAUAACCUUGGCCGAGAGGCCUGGGCAAUCUUGUUAACGUGCAUCGUGAUAGGGAUAGAUUAUUGAAAUUAUUAAUCUUGAACGAGGAAUUCCUAGUAAACGCAGAUCAUCAAUCUGCAUUGAUUACGUCCCUGCCCUUUGUACACACCGCCCGUCGCACCUACCGAUUGGAUGGUCCGGUGAAUUAUUCGGACUGCAACGCGUUCAGCUUCUGGAUGCAGUUGCGGAAAGUUUUGUAAACCUUAUCACUUAGAGGAAGGAGAAGUCGUAACA
rnacentral:rRNA from 1 species